GUGUACUAUCUUAUGUAUCUGAUGCUUUUUCCUAUAUUAAAAAUAUUUAUAUAAAGAUAGAGAGAUUUCAGGAUAGUUUUCAAGUUGCGAAGGAAAAAGUCGCUUAAGAAUAAUGGGAUGCUCCUGAUAGAAUUCCUUAUUUCCUAGUAGACUUGGAGAUACAUUCUUGUCAUGAGAUAGGUUAGGUGGCUUAAAACAACUUCCCUUUCACCCCCCCCCCAAAAAAAACAGGUCAGACAUGUCUACUAUACCUAGAAAUUUCAAAGAGAUCAGGCUUCCUUGAGGAUUAGAAAGUGAAAUACAAAAACACGCUGCUGUUUCUUACCCAAAACUCUAAUUAAUUCACCUGUAUUGCACAGUAAUCAACUGUUAUCCUUUAGUACCCAAGGCUAGUCGCUAGCAUGUUAUUUAAGUAACACAAUAAUUAUGGGGUUUCUGUCAUAUCUGGAAAGUACUGCUGUAUUUUGGGAACGUCUUUUUGGGUUUGUCAGUGAGAAUGUGUUUGUAAAUAAUGAGAACAGAAACUAAGCUUCCUGGCUGUCUUGUAAAGACAGAAGGGGUGGUUGUGCUUUUGAGCUGAGUGAGAGCUUGCCCUUUUCCUCCUCUGUCUUCUCUAACUUGUUGCAUGAAGGUAUUUAUUCGAGGAUAUUUGACCAGUGUAUGAUCUGAGCAUAGGUCAUGUCUCUGUGUUGCUUGUAUCUCUAGGAAUCUGGAAUAGUUAGGCUUUGAACCUGGCUACCCACUUUCAGAGAUUUUCUAAGAUGUGAAACAAGGAACUAGCAUUUGGCAGAUUUAAAAAAAAAAAAAAAAAACUAUUAGAGCAGACUCAGUUUUGAGAAAUUUUAUGAUGGAAUUUUUGUCAUUUGGGUGUUGAAAUUAUUAUCACUUUUCUUUUUAUCAUUUUUAACCGGUUGAAGUUGUUUAGUGUCAGAUGGUACAGGAACCCUCUAAAAAGAAAUAUGACACCAUUGACUUACUCUUUAAUACUAAACUUUGGGGGGGCAAAAUAGUUGAAUUGGGAGGCUUUCUUAAAGUUUAAGAAUUCAGAAAAUUAUUGCAUAAAAGUUUAUAAACUUCUACAAAGAUAGGUGAAGUGUCCACAGCUGUUUGUUCUAGUUAACCAGUGUACUUUUACAUACUGAAAUAUUUAUUAAUUUUUUCAUUCACCAAACCUACUCUUAACUAAAAGUAAGGAUUCAAUAUAUAUCACAAAUAUCAAAAUAUAGUUUAGAAAGAUUACCAUUUUUCAAAAUGUCAAAUUACUGUAUUAAUGAAACGUAACACUGCAAAAAGUGUUAAACUCUAAAAGAAAAAAAACUAAUUUAUUUUUGAAUGUCAUUCUUAACUUUAAUAAACUCCAAUGUGCUUUUAAAAUGCUAAAUUAUGUAGUGUUUCCAGUCCUAGCCCUACAGAUAGAAAAGGGGAAUUAAAUGCCCAAAGCCUGAACUUACAAUUCUCAUUCUUACAUUUCCUCAAACUCUCACUCAUCCAAAAUCUGCCACACUCUAGAGCCACAAACAGGAAGCAAUGAUGCAGACCAAGCCAUAAUCCCACCCUGCUUCAGCCAACUUCAAAUAUUCUGUAGAGAAACGUGUGCUCGGAGCACAUGCUUCUCUUAGAAGUGAGGCUUGGGAACAUAUUCCUCUACCUAUAUGGUACUCGUCCCCUCCCCCCACCCUAGGUUCCUAAACCUUUUCAGGGAGCCACCACUUGCUCCUUAGAUCAAACAAUAGGGUUAGACAAGUCAAAUGUUGCAAAAUAAAAUAUCCCGGAAAGAAAGCCCCGGAAAAAAGCAUGUUCUUUUCAUCUUUUUCUUUCCUACUUUUGGAGAUACUCUUUCCUGUGAUGAAGAAGGCAAACCGUAUUUAACACAGCACACAGAUCAACUUAGGAAAGGUUUCAAAUUCUCACUGCAGCGCAUCUUGAGCAUUGAGAGCUUUUGUCUUGUUUAUUGUUUUACAUGUCUUGUUAUUUAAGGGACUCUUCGUCCAUCUCAUCUUUCCUAACCUUCAUUCAAUUUGCAUAAGCAAAACUCAAAGUACUGUAACUGAUAUUAGAAAAUUCUCCCUGUGUUUUGUGAAGACGUAUUGUGCUGAAAUCAAUAAGACUGUUUAAAAUUCAAAGACCUGCAAAUCGUUCUGUUUGUCCUUUGAUAGGGCCUGUGCUGAUUAAAAUGCUACCAAGAAAGCUUAAUUGCUGCACUAAUUAAGAAGUCUUUAAUUUCUUUCCUAGGAUAUCGUUUGAAGCUUAGCUUGUACAGUUCAGGGAAGGUAUUUUCUUCCCUCCUUCUGCCCUCUCUGGCCCCUCCCCUUCUCUCCCCUCCCCCUCCUUCCCCCAUUUGAGGAAACCGGUAAGAAUGGGAACUAAUAAAAAGAAUGGUCUCAUCAUCUCUUACUUAACAAAAAUCGGCACAGGAUACAGAGUUCAGCGCAGUAUGAAAUGCAGUUUUGAGAAGAGCUGUAAGCUUUGCAGGAGACAGUGAGAAAAUACAAAGUAGCUGUGGCAGCUAAAGUCUCGGUGAUUACCUGAAUGACAACAGGCACUUUAGUGAUGAUGAGGGCAUCCUAUUUGGUUAAAAGGCUCAGUGGCGAAUAGGGACACAUAAAAACAUACUUUCACAACCUGUGGUUUCAAAAGGGAAGAAUAAAUGUGUAAAAAAGAUGGACUUGUAGUUGGGAAUUGGUAAGUAUCAUUUUAUUUGAGUAUAAAAGGGUAUAUCUGUGGGGAUUUAUUUUUGACCCUCUUUUAUAACUCAGGGAGGCACAGAACUGUAUUACAUCUAUUCCGUUCUUUUCUAUUGAUAUGUUGUCUUCAGGGAUUUCUCAAGUGGGGAAACUGACUAAAUGAUUUCACAAAGCUUUCUCUGUAAUCAAUAGUCAUUUUUUUUAGAUUUAUUCAUGUUGCAUUAUAAUUCUGGUAAAUGACUGCAAAGAAGAGAUUAUAAGAAAGAUACAAAUAUUGACAGAUUUAGGAUAAGUCAUGUCUUCAGUUUCUUAUGGCAACUGGUACAGUGUUUUUUAAAAUUGAAAAUCAAUUAUUUCUAACAAAAUAAGAAAAUAUAGAGUAACUCAAAGACAACGUAUAUCUGAAUACAUUCCUUUAAUAUCUCACAAUGUUCGGAAAGCUUUGCAUUUAUUGCUUUUUUAUGGUAUUUCUAAAUGAAAGAGAAGCAAUGUAGGCAUAUAUGAAAAGGCAUACACCAGGAGGGCAGCAUGAAAGGUGCUUCAUUAUAAUUUGAUUCUUUCAAUUUUUCGCAAGGUCCAUUAGAAGCAUGUAUGUUAGAAAUUACAAAUGUAUGCUAUAGAUCUAUACUGGAUUCCUUACAGAGGCAGGACAAGGAGAAAACCUGCUUAAUAGAUUCCAAGGCAGAUUUACCAUUCCAAGCACGACGUCACUCUAAUUAUGUUUACUCUAAUUGAAAGCAAGGUUUUUUUGGAAUCUGAAAUUACUUUCAGAUUUUUUUUUUUAAAAUAAUGCAAGUGGAUCAAAUGUUGAUCACAAGCAUUUCAAUCUUUCAAAAUGUAUUGGAAAAUUAAAUGAAAAGUAGAGUUUGGUACAAACAAUGCCCCAGGGCAAAAAACAACUAACACUAGAUUUUCCAGUCCAGCCAUAACACAAAUCAAUUGGAGCACACUUCUAUGGCCAGACUGCCAGAUUGUUAUGACUGCUAAUUCACUCAAUCAAAGAGUGCAUUAGCACACCCGGCACAAACAGCUUUAACAAUGGAGUGCGUUUCUCAACAAUCCUAAGAUACACCACAAUGGCUAAGUAAAGGAGACCAUUUUUACAUCUGUGUAUUUACUAAUGGACCAGUUUCCUUAAUAGAAAUAAUAAAAAAAGAAGAUAAACUUCAGCCAUGGGUUUAUUAAAGAGCUAUCAGAGUUUGGCAAAUCUAGAAAGAUACCAGAGUACCAGUAGUUCACUGACUUUGUUAAAUGUUUCUCAGGAGAGAGUCCAAAAUUGAUGUUUGCAUUUCAGUAGUAAAUCAUUGAAGAUGGAGAAAUUAUGCCAAGUAACUCUCUCAAGCCUUUUUAACUCAGACACACAGCCUUGCCAAUCAGCCCCUCAAAAAACCUUCACUACCUGAAGCACAAACUUCCGAACUUUUACAGUUUCACUCUUUUUCCUCCCCAUUUUCAUCACUCUGCCUGACUUUUGGUGGCUUUCAUAUCCCUAGUCUCCCUUUCUGUUCAAAUUCUCUGCCUCUGCUUAAGAACCAGGAAUGGGAUUCUUAUCUUACUGUGGCACUCUCUAAUGAAAAGCAGACAAUUUGCUGGUGAAUUACCCAAAAGACAGAAGGUGGGAAGCUGAAUAGAAUUAUACCCUGUGACUUUACGUACCGAUUUUGAUACUUAAUGAUGAAAUGGUUAAAAUGAUUAUAAAUAGCACUUGCUAUUUUAUUAACUACAGGGAAAUGCAGACUUAGUCCACAAGCUUCUUGAAUGGACAUGGUAAUCAUCUGUUUGCAUUAGUGUAGAUCCAAUUCCAAAUAAUUCAUUAGGAGAACACCAUUCCUCCCUUGCUCCUUUUAAGCCCUUUCUGCUUGUUCAGAAUAAAGGUCCCAAGUGUUAGAAACUACUUUUCUGGCUAUGCAGCAGGCAAUAAGAAAUGUCCACACUCAGGUGUGGGAAGAGAUGGCAGUGGCAAGAAGAAAAGCAAAUGAACAAAAAAUCAUCGUGCAAUUUUUUUUUCAGCUUCUAAACUGCAUCACUCCCAGGGUAACUAGUCAAUUCUUUGUGAUGAAUUAGUUAUACUUUCCUGUAAGUACCCUCUUCCAGGUAAGUGUCCUCUAUUCCAUCUGUAGGGUGGUAUGAAAGGCUACCCAGCCAAAUAAUUCUUACAAUAGCAAGCACAGUAAGAUCAUUGUACAGCUGAAUGGAAGCAGCAACAACAAUAAUAUAAAUUCAGCUUAUUUUUCUCCACCUCUUAAGUCAGGCCAUCAUCCUGAAAAUAAUGUAGGCUGGACUAUAUGAAGUUCAGACAAACAGAUAUUUAAAUCCCUCCUUUCCCACUAGAUAUUGGGCCUUUAAUCGUACCUUUUCAUAUAUGUUUUCUAAUUGUUGGGCUUUUUUCUCCUUAAAUAAACAAGAUCUGUAUUAUGGGAUGUAAAUUACUUAAAAGAUAAGUAGUUAGGAAUAUUAUGAGAAGAGAACAUUUUAUCUACUAUAGUGCAAAGAUAAACUUAAUAUUGAGGCAUAAAUUAUAGUAUACUUUUAUCACAAUAGAAGAAAAUUGCUUGACUGUGUAAGUUUCUUUUUUUAGUCGUUUUACUUUAUUUUCUUAGCCUUUUUUCCCCUUUUGGUGGCUUUAUGAAAUCAAAGAAGGGGUUGUCAACCAACAGAUAGCCUAUAAAAUUGUUUUAUUUCAAGACAGGACUUCCAAGGAUUUCUAAAAAGAAUAAACUGUUUAUUUAUUUAUUACUUUUCAGAACAAAGAGAUGUUUUAAAAGUUGAAAGGACAACAAUUGCUACCUCCUGGAAGCCUGAUCUUGUAUGUCAAGUUUCAGCCCAGAGCAAAUUUUUACAACAAGUUAUAAACCCCUGUAACAGAGGGUUUAUUAUAAUGGAAGUGCUGACACAAUCUUAACUAUAGUGUUGUAAACGGCUAUGCUAUAAUAUCCAUUAAGCAGAAAGAAAAAUAAGCUGGCUGAUCAAUAAUUUAUACAAAGAGUACCAACUGCAGACAUAAUAACUGUAAUGUUUGCAAAGCAAUCUCUCUGCUCUCCAGGCUUAACAGUGAACUCAAACUAGCAACGCUGUUAAUUUCCAACUCCUACAGAUAAGAAUACAAACAAAUUACUUAAAAUUAUAUUUUGCUCAACAUUUAGCAUGCCUCAAUGGGAUAAAAUAAAAUUUAAUUAUGAUGCAACUUGUGCCGGAUGCAAGGCUGCUUUGUUUUCCAGCACAUUUUAUUAUGAGAAGACGUUCAUUUGGAACAUCAAUUAUGGGGAAAUAGUAUGUUUCAAUGAGUUUACUUGGGUCAGUCAGGUUCAUCUAAGAGUUAUUCAGACAUGGAAACUGAUUGACAAUGCUUAACUUCAAAGAAAGUUCGAGUUUAGAGAGGCACAAGCUGAAACACAAUACUGCAUGCCCUGAUCCAAGUUAACUGUCAGUAAAAACACACCUUGCCAUUAGAGUUAAUGGGGAAAAAAGUCAUUGGUUUGGAAAUGUGGUCAUCAUUAGUAGCCAGUGAAUGUGGGAGUGCUUUUUCAAUGGCAUGCCUUGUUUUUUUGUGGGAACAUUGUGUGACAUUUCUACCUAUUAGACCUGAACCACUGAAUGUGAGCAUUGUUUUCAUUUCUAUAAAAUUAAUUUGUCUAUAUUUUUGUUGACAUCAGUAUAUAUCUAGUAAUUGCUUCUUAAAGUAUCUGAAUAUGGACAUGUUAUGUUGAUGACUUCAUUUUUAAUGGGCGGCUUUUAAGACAGAAGUACCUUUGACAGGAAUUUGAAAAGUUAAAUAGGAGAAUUCACAAUUCCAAACUGUUCCAGAUACACCACUGGAAGUAGGAACAGACUGAAGGUUCUUGAGGCUCACAUCCCUGCUAGUCUUUUUCCCUGUUCAUUUCCUGGUGGUGGAAUUAAAGGGUAGGGGGGAUGUGGAGCCCAACAGAAUGAAGAGACUUUGCUAUCAAAGCUGUAAAAUGGUGUAUUACCCUGUGAGCAACUGCGCUUGGAAAGGAACCAGUAAUUUAUAUGAGAAAUGUUUAAGAUUGCCUGCUCACCCAGUGAUCCAUGCCAGGUCAGUUUCAGUAAUGCUAGAAAACAAAAGGAGGUGCAGAUCACUGGAAAAGAGACACCUUCCUUGCCUUAAGAGCUUGUGAAGGGAAGCACUAAAAUGUCCUUUUCUCAAAUGAACUGAUCAUUACCAUUUAAAAUCCUGAGGGCUAUGAGACUGGGGAGGGGAGAAAUAAUUUUUCUUUUGAUUUAGCAGGGCUCUGAAAUGCUGGCAUUAAGGGGGAGGCAUUUUGUUGUGAUUGUAUCAUGGUCCUAUGCUUCAGUAAAGAUUAAAUCUUGAAAUUGAGGAUAUAUUUUGAAACAAUGAAAUGGGGGGGAAAGGUGGGCACAAUGGCUCUCUGAAUUCAUUUGGCCACUUUAAACUUAGACACUAACUGCCCUAAAAAAUUACCAGUACAAAUAGUAAUGAAACUUUCUAAUAACGUCUUUGCCAGACUCUGUGAAUAGAUUUUUCUCAGACCAACUCCUCACCCCUUUAAUUUUCAUGAGGAAUAUGAGACAUUGCCAGGGUGGUGAGGUAGGAAUGGACAUCUUCUGAGACCCCUUUGCUUCUAGUACAGGUCUAAGUAUACCAGAGGCCCCCUCUUUGUUAAAUGGACACAUGUUUCCUUACAUGCCUAAAUUAAUUUUAGUUUUUAGCUUUAUUUCAUCUUUAUGUCUAAACAUGUAUAUUCCUCAUGUAAUUCAGAUCUAUCAUUUCCUCUCUGGUUCAAAAUUCAGCAUAUCUCAGAAUCCUUGCUGGCUUUACAGCUGGUUUUCUCCUACCAUGAGCUCCAGGGAUUGAACUCAUAUUGUUAGGCUUGCAGGCCAAGUUCCUCCCCCAAAGGAGCUAGCCAGCUAAGCUGCCAUUGUUGCUUCAUAUCUGCAUUAUAGCGAUUUUCCCCUGGUAUUCUGACAGGGAAAACGAUUAUUUGACAUUUUUUUUUUUUUUUUUUUUUUUUUUUUUUUUUUUUUUUUGGUUUUUCGAGACAGGGUUUCUCUGUGUAGCUUUGCGCCUUUCCUGGAACUCGCUUUGGAGACCAGGCUGGCCUCGAACUCACAGAGAUCCGCCUGGCUCUGCCUCCCGAGUGCUGGGAUUAAAGGCGUGCGCCACCACCGCCCGGCUUAUUUUACAUUUUUACACUUACUGAUAUGCUUCAUUUCAGGGGGUCUUAGCCAAGUUUACUCAUGGUAGAUAUCUAGUACAGUGCUAAGAACUUGAGUAUUGCUCAAUAAAUGUCACCUGGGUAAUUAAAACAGCGUUUUCCAUGUGUUGCCUUCCAUCUCCUUAGCCACCAAAUGACACAAACUGCUUGUUCUUGAUAUCAUGCAUGGUCUCAUCCAGACUGGACACACCAGAAACAAAUGCUUAUCCAGUUCUCUUGUCCUCUACAAGUAAUCUGGGAAAAAAAAAUCUUAAAGUAAAAUGUGGAGAUACUUUGAUACCCAAGCUGGGUAUCAAAGAUCUGAAAAAUAGAAUCUUAGGCCAGUAAGCAGGACUUCCUAGGAUCCGUGCAGAAAGAACUGUCUUUUCUAUGUCAUCAGAAAAGAGUCUUCACGAAGACUGAAAACAGGAGUUCAUCCUGCUGUCACCUGAGACCAUGGGGUAGAUUCUUGGGUGCAACUUUACCUCCCAGACGUGAGCACACAAAGGGUAUAUGCAAAGAGGGAAGCUGCAAAGUAAGGGAGACUUGAAUGGCCUGUGUCUUCAAAGAAGUCUUGAGCUCCGGAUACAUAGUGCAUGAAGUCACGGAACACCAGGGAAUGUCAGCAAGGAGGCAGAACUGCAGGACAAGGGACAUUCUAGGUAUUCUCUUUUCAGCUGAGCAAGAGAAUGGGUCACCUUCUCCAAGACACAAUUUGACUGACUUGGAAAUCUGUCUGAUUACAGCAUUAGGACAAACUUCAGCCUGUUGUAAACGAUGAGUUCUUUUGUUUUUGUUUUUGUUUUUUUCAUAUGAGUGCAUUGAUGGACAAAUUAGCCAAAGUCAGUAUUAAAGAAGAAAUCUACUUUCUAGCAGUUGCUGGUAAGAAAUCCAAAGCUUUUGCUUAAUACAACAUUUUUUUAAAAGGAACUAGCAACAAACUGAUUUUGGUAACUAGGGUGCGUUUACACUAACUUGUUUGUAGUGUAUGUCAAGUCAAGGACAGAACAAACAUACUCAAAUACUCUAGUCCAGUAUUAGCAACUGGACAUUUCAUUGGUUCUGAAAGUAAAAUAUUAACUUAAAAUAUAGAAUUAACAAUAUAUGAUUGAUGAGCUUUGUUGGAAAUAUGAUGUGUUAGGUGGCAUGUCUAACAAACGAGCAGUAUUUCACUUGAAAAUAUAAAGAGAAAAAUUAGAUCUUCUUUUUUUAUACCUUGCUACUCAAAAAUAACUAUCCUUAAUAUUUUGAUUUUAUUAUCCAAAAUAGUUUCCUAAAAGCUUUCACUAUUUGUCAGAUUUCCUAAGAAGCCACAUAAUCAGGAACUGUUAAGACCAAUAUACUAAAAAUUAUUUGUACAUAUUGGACUUCUAUGUGUUAUAAUUAGCCGUCACACAAUGCAAACCAUUCUAAAAUCAACAUCAAACUACUGCUACACUUGACGCCCUUUUGAUGUAUAUAGUGCUUACUUUGUGAUGAUACAUUUUAAGGCAACAUUUUCCGUGGAAUGGUACUCUUGUUCUCACAGCAAAAUGAUCUUUUAUUUUAACAGUAUGAUCUAAAAUAAGAUAAUAAAAUUUCACUUGAUGAUUCAGCUGUACACAAAUGGCCUCAAGGAACUGUUUUAUAUAUGUAUACAAGCUCAUGUGCCAAUUUUUAGAAUUCUUUAACAUUUACUUAGAAUUAGUCUAUGAUUACUGUGUUUUUGGUGGCUAAAAAACAUAUUUAUUGUUCCUAUCUAAGUAACUCUGUCCAAAAGCACUUACUAACCAUAACAACACAACAAAGAUUGGUUACGUCAACACUGUACUUUAUCAUUGGCCUUUGUUUUCUAAUACAAUGCUUUAAAAAUAUCCUCGGCUGUAUAGAGGACAUUGUUGCAAAAAGGCAGCUCAAAACUUGUCCUUCUCUUCUCUUUCAUUGAUCUGUUGCCUCUUAGGCAAUAUGAACAGCUGUCUCCAGCUCACCCACAAGCAAGCUGAACAUAAUAAUAAGGUCAUGUUAGUAUCCUGUAUCUAGCAAUGAUUGGACAGAGGAUGCCAGCUCUUUUUCAUUAAAGAUAAGGUAACAAAGACACCCGAAACUGGGUCCUGAAAACAGACGAAAUUGCUGCCUUAAAGGUUCUUGUUCUGGUACCCACUGAGAGUCUCUUUCACAUGGGUUUCCACUAAGGUGAAGGUGCCCUCUGUAGGAGACUCCCAGUAAAUGCUGCUGUUUUACAUUUAGGUGACAUCAGGCCCGUUUCCCCCCUCCCUUCCAGCUUACAAAUAAAUGAAUAAUCACAGAACUCUGCAAGAGCACAAGUUUAAAUUCUAUAAAUCUAAACACGAAACACUAUCGAGUCUAAAAUCAGCUAUGUAAAUCUCGUGAAUUUUCAAAGUAAGCAACUCUGAACACUGAGAAAGCUGCUCAGCACGUUAUAAUUUGCUAUUUACUGGAUAUAAUUGUGGAAUGCAAUAAGGUGGGUUUUGUAAAUUCAGAGGUGUUGUGAGAAACAGAAAGACAGGAUGUCCGGACAUAUCCCAGUGAACACUGUAUCUACACAGAAGCAGCAUCCACACACUGAAAGAUACACACUGUCCAAUAAAUACACCUCCCCAAAAGGUCUCUUCUAUUCUUACAAAGGUUACCAUAAUGCAGAUUCAUUAUCAGUCCCACUGGGUAGUAUAUAGCUUGGUAAGAAAUUGCUUUUGUUAGCAUGCUCAUGGAAAAAGAUUAGCUAUUUCAUCAGAUCUCUUGGGGCGAUUUGAAAAUUUGGGGAUUCUCUCUGUAAUUUAAAAUGGAAGUUAAAGCCAAUCUGAAUAGACUAGGGAAAAAUCUCACAAAUUAAACCUCUCCAUCUGGAAGUUUCUUCAUCAUUCACUGCGAAAAUACAAAACUCAAGUGACAUUUGUGCCAAGCAGUAGAGAUUUCAUCAGGGUUGAUAAAAUUGUAUAUAUAUAUAUAUAUAUAUAUAUAUAUAUAUAUAUCCAGGUUUAAUAAUUAGAGAUUUUCUUUGCAAAAAAAACUUAAAAGUACUGUAGACUGCUUAGUGGUGUUUCAGACUUGAUUUUGGUCUGUAUUAACUUUGCAUGUUAUGUUCACCCCUGAUGCAUUUAUGUCCAUUUUUAUGACUAUGACUUGGGCCACUAUGGAAUGUAUACAUGAGAGUCUAGUCUUGUCUGUAUUGGAAGUUAGGGUGUAUUCAAGAAGACACAGAGGUGAAAGAGAGGGGAACAGUUGCCACUUUCUAGUAUAUAAUUGAAUUUAUUCUGAACUAUCAGCUCAAACAUCCCUUUCUCUUUAAGUCUGUGUCUGCAUGGUACCAGAACCAGGUUAUCAACGGCACUAUUUACAGAGUGGCUACUAUUUAUGUUGGGCGCUUCCUCUGGAUUAUUCACUUAAUCCUCUUGAGAAAGAUAAUUAUCCUUUUUUUUUCCUUUUUCAUUCGUGUGUAUGUGUGUGUGUGUGUGUGUGUGUGUGUGUGUGUGUGUGUGUGUUCUACUGUGUGAAUGGACCUGUGUGUGGGGGUGUACAAAGAGAAUUGAACUCGAUUUGGAGAGUCUUCCUCUGUCGAUAGCCACUUUGUUCUCUGAGGAAGGAUUUCUCAGUUGGCUCCAGAGCACUGAUAAGGCUAGUCUGGCUAGUCAGCUUUCCCUGGAGAUCUACUGUGUCUGACUUCCAAGCACUGGGAAUACGGGGAAUGCAGGCAGGUCACAUUGUCCAUCCAGCAUUUAUUGGGUUCGGGGGAUUCAAAUUCAAGUUCCAACAUUUACUAUGUGUAUAAAUGUUCUAACUGCUGAGCCACCUUUCCCAACCUAGUUAUCCAACACACACACACACACACACACACACACACACACACACACACAGAGAGAGAGAGAGAGAGAGAGAGAGAGAGAGAGAGAGAGAGAGAGAGAGAGAGACAGACAGACAGACAGACAGACAGACAGAUAGACAGACAGACACAGAGACACAGAGACAGAGACACAGAGAGAAGAAAGUGGUACUUAGGAGGUUAAAACCUUUGCUUAUCUACACCAGGAUCUCUGUUCCUGUCCACUAUGAAAGGCUCCCUUCUGAUGUCACUUACUUUUCCACCUAUCUGUCAUUCACAUAAUCAAAGCAGUUGUGAUCCUGUCUUUCUACCAGAGCUGUCUGCCGAAUCCCCAGCCAGUACUAACUCAGCAAUCUGCUAUCCUACUGGAUGACUGAACAUUGCUAAAGACUCUCCCACAGUGAUGCCUAUUGAUAUCCUUCAUUACUCAUGACUCGGACUUGUAAGCCUUAAAAUUUAAGCUAGUUUAUCCAGAAAGGGGCCUGAAUAAGCUCACAUCAUCAUUUUAAUGGAAGGUUAGGGCUCCAGUUAGUCUCAAGGGCGACUGAGACCAGAGAUUCAGACACCCCAUCAAAUCAGCUCUGAUCUCAGAAGACACACGUGUCAGGGUGUCUUCAGUUUCUCUGUCUGGAUUAUGCACAGCUAGAUUUAUGCUUCUAGCAUCAGUCAUGCUCAAUUCUUUUAAUUCCAGCACCAGAGAUACACUGUGCUCUGCCUCCUUGAUACUCAAGUUAGGAACCAAAGGGAAAGCACUCUCUGGGUUACCUUGAGACAAACGUUCAUUUGUAGAUGAAGAAACUAGACAAGAAGAAUAUCAAGUACUGAGUGCUGGUAUUGAAGGCAUGGGCCAUCACUGCCCUCAGGUGCUGAGAAUGAAUGUGUGGGAUGAGAUGUAACAUGCAUGGAGUUUAAAACCUAGUGUGCAUAUGACCUAAAAAAGAGUUACCUUUCUCUUCCUCGGUUUAUUUACUACAAAAAGAGACAGUAGGUGUAUCUAAUUUGCUGCAUUCUCCUGAUGGCUAAAUGAGCUACUAUGUGGAACUUAGAAUAACAGUUCCCUCCUAUUGUUAAUAAUAAUUAUAUGGGGCUUUAGGAUUGGUCCAGCUUGACUCAGAAUCUCAAAGCUUCAAUUCUAUGGCCAAUGGGGCAGAGUAAUUUGAAGAUUAGGUUUGAGGGAUAGUCUUGACAUCUAGGUCUCAGGAAUUAUUCAGGAGGGAAAUGCUUUUACAGAUGAAAGAAUGAAGUAUGCUACCAAGACAAAUCAAUGGAUGUCUGUUAUACAGAAAUCAAAAGUGCUGGAGUGCAGACCAAGAAUGAAGUCUGGUGAGAAUACUGAGUGCCUGUGAGAAAAAUUAAAAAAAAUAAAAAACAAGAGUCUUGUGACCUCAGUUUCUUCAAAUCACAGUACUGUUCUUGAAAUGUGUCAUCUCAUGGGGAUGUUGAUGAUCCUCUCAGGGGUAGCAGAUACGAGUAAGUUUACUUCUGCUGUUAUUCAUAUACCUCUACGGGUAAAAACAUGUUCUGCAGUGUGUGACUUGUCCUUACGAUUUUAGUCAGGUGAUUGUUCUUAACCCUCAGAAUAUAAAUUGUCCGAUGCACUAAAUAAAGUUGACUAAUUGCGUGAGACUUAGUCCUCCUCAUUUUUAGGCCCCUCUCUCCCAGAUUUACACCACAAACUAGAGAGGCAAACAAAAAGUAUACAACCUCCAAUGUAAGUAGAGGGUUACUAAACAGUAUUUUCCCUUCACGUUAUCAAUGAGGUCCAUGUCUUUCUUCCUUCACUGAUGAUUCUAUCCUGUCUUAUAUUUUUCACCAUGUGUUUGUGUGUUUGUGAUGUGCAUGUUUACAAGCAUACGUGUGUGUGUGUGUGUGUGUGUGUGUGUGUGUGAGAGAGAGAGAGAGAGAGAGAGAGAGAGAGAGACAGAGAGAGAGAGAGACAGAGAGAGAGAGAGAAAGAGACAGAGAGAGCGAAAGAGAGAGAGACAGAGAGACAGAGAGAGACAGAGAGAGAGAGAGAGACAGACAGAGAGAGAGAGAGAGAGAGAGAGAGAGAGAGAGAGAGAGAGAGAGAGAGAGAGAGAGAGAGUCUGUGUACACACACGAAAUGUGGGUGGAGGAUGGACACUGAGGUCAGGAAUCUUCUAUCGUUUUCCGCCAUACUCAUUGCGGCAGGUGCUCUCGGUUCAACCCAGAGCUUUCCGAUACACCUACCCUAGCUAGCCAGCCUGUUCUGGGAAUCACUUGUUUCUACAUUUGGAGCUCUGGAAUUCUGUUUGGCUCUAGGGACAGGCCCCAUGCAUGUGCAACAAGCAUUCUAACCACCACGCCAUCUCCCACAGCCUUCUCAGAGAUAACUCUACAACUUCAAGUGUGAGGUAUACAUCCUCAAGUCUGCAUUCUGUAUUGACUCUCCCAUCAGAAGAGGAACGUUAAGAUCCUCAGGUCCCUGCCGUUUCCUGUGAAAAACAACAUAAGAACAAAGAGAAGAAGGUCAUCUAUGAGGAAGAAUGUAAGCUCUCACUGGAAACCCGAUUAUCAGACACCUUGUUCUUGGACUUUCCAGCUGUUAGAAGAGUGAGAAAUAACUUUCUGUGGUUUAAAAGACCAGGUCUGUAGUACCAUCUCACAGCAGCCUUAGCACAUUAAUGCACUAAGGCAUAUACCUAGGGGUGGUCAUUUCGUGAUACUAGGGUCUAUAUGUCAAUUUUAUGGGGUCAGAAGAAAUUGAUUUUCAAAUUAUUAUAUGAACUUAUAUUGCAAUAGUUGUCCCACAUCCUUUCUAACAUCUGAUAUUACAACAUUUUAAAAUAUUUCCUAAUUAAGUAGUUAUGAACUAGGACCCAACCACUGUUUUAAUUUAUAUUUUAUUAUUAAGUUUACUGAGAAUAUUUCCAUAUGUAUUUGCCCAUUAGAAUAUUUUGCCUAUGACAAAUUUUAGCAUUUGUGCUUUCAUUUUGUUGUAUGAAUAUAAGUAACAACUCAGAUUUUAUUAUAUUGUCCAAUUCUCAUCUCAAAUUCACCAUCGUAUUGCCUCAGCCCUCUAACUGCUAGGAUUAAAGACAUAUUCCACCAUGUCUGGCAAAGUAUAAAUAUUCCAAAUGCUAAUGUCUUGGCAGUUAAGAAAUAUAUUCCCCCAGUCUGUGGCUUAUGUUUUCAUAUUUUUUGUGAUACAUUUUGAUGAAUAGAAGUUCUUAAUUUUAAUGUAGUCCAUUCUUAGUUUUCUUAAUAUCUCUUUUGGAGUCUUAGAAAUGUCUCUGCUAUAAGAACAUAUUAUUUCCUAGGUUUAAAAAAUUGUUUCAUGUACUCAUUUAAGCUUUCUGUACAUUAGGAAUUGAGAGAUUGGAACAUUAAAAGACUGAAUUGAAAAUUGAAGCAGAAAUGAAGAGCUAGGAGGAGAAAUGAAUCAAAAGAGUAGAGACAAGAGAUGUUAAUAAUUAUACUACACAGGUAUCUCCCAUAACAAAGAAUUAUUCAGAUGGAAACGUCACUAAACCUGAAACUAAGGCCUUUUUGGUAGUGUUUUUACAAAACCAACUUAGUUGGCAUCUGAAGUACAUCUUGGCUUCUAAAAAGGAAAGUACAAUCUAGGGUUGUGAGUGUGACUGGUUUCUGUGUUCUGUGUACUUCUUUUUGCUAACCUUGUUAGUUUUUGUGGUACAAAACUUUCAGAAUUUUACAGACUUUGACUACGUGAUUUAUCAUUAUUGAGAAAGCUGUGCUUAAAUCUUCUGGUAUGUAGAUUAGUGUAGCACUCCCUAUACUUCUGUCAGCUCUUGCUUUAAAUAAUUUGAGGUUAUAUUUUUAGGUGGCACAGAAUUAGAAUUCUUAUGUCUUUCAAGUGAAUUGAAGUGUUUAUCAUCUUUUAGAGACUAUCAUUUUUGCUAACACUAAGUAUUAAAAUGUUAAGUUUAUUUUGUCUCAUCUAUUUUUAGAAACAUUCUUGACAUCCUGUUUUAUUAUGUAUCUAUUGAUCUAUCGUAAGCCUUACCCUAUAUUUCUUUUGUCUUAUUAGUGCCACUGAAUUUUAGGGUGUAUCUUGUGAAUAGCAUGAGGUUCCAUUUGCUUGGAAUCCAGUUGGGUAUUCUUCAUGGCUUAAAAAGGUUAUUUAUUUCAACUACAUAUUUUUGUAUUUCUAUGUAUCAUCAACUAUUAUGAUUUUAUUGAUACUGUAUGUUUUAUAGUUUGGUGUCUCUAUAGUUUAUAUUACUUUACUUUGCCUAUAACACUUACAACUUCUUUUAAUCACCCCCUAACACUGCAAUGAAGACCAAAAGGCAUUUACUACUUCUAUGAUCCUUUCUACAUUCCCAAACAGCUCAACUGAAGGGGCCUAGACUUAACUUUUUCCUCAAUUAAUGAUUGCUUUCUUCAUGUAAAUCAUUAUAAUUGAUUCCUUAAUCAUUAUUUCACACUGAAAUUGGCUCACAAUUGCCCUCUUCAAUCCUAUUCUACUUCGUACCUGUUAUUUUGAUGUUUACACCAUUCAUUAAGAGUUUCUUAAAUUUUGGCAAAAGGUUGAGGUCAACAUUGUGUUUUUUGGUCCCUUAAUUCUGGGAGCAACAAUAUCUCCAAAGAGACUAGUUAACAUGAAAGAUUCUAUACAACUGGCAAGAUGCAGACAUGAACUAUGAGCAUUGUUCUAUAUGUUUUAUGAUUUUUGUCCUUGUAAGUAAACAGUAAAUGUGUGUAUAGGUAUAUACAAUAAAUAUUUUUGUAUAUGACGCACUUACAAACAUCUACCCACUAAUCUACUGAAAUAUUGUGAAUCUAUACAUGUGAAUUUAUUUCUACUUUCAAUAAAAUAAUAAUUAUAAUCAUUGUAAAUGAUUGAUUUUCUUUCUGUUUCUCAAAUAGUGAGAAAGCUAACUUCCAGCAAUCUCAGUAUAUUUAUUAACUGUCUAGUUCCUUGUGUGUGAGUAAUAUCCACAUAAGCUGUAACGUCAUUGCCCUUGACCAUUGGCUGCCUCCUUGGUUCUGAUA